AGAUUUCUCAUAUCCCAGACGUACGCAUAGAUGAGUACUUAUAGAUCAUGAAGGAAACGAUGGGUGAAAAAAGUGUAGAAAAGAAUAUUCUCUUUGGUGAGUUUGAUCUGUGUUCCUCGAAUUUAUAAUGCUCAUUCAGGAUAUGUAUCAUUAUUUGUGCUAAUCCUCAUAUCUUAUUUGGGUCACCAAAAAUUGCAGAGCUCUGUUGUUAAGGACACUGAACCUAUUUUACAUCUGAAAUCAAGUUUUAGGUAAUUCAAUUCCUUUCAUGUGCAAUAUCAAAAUUGAAAUUGGAUAUAAUUUCUAGAUUCUAUACAUUGAUUACGUAGCAGAAGGCAGAAGGUCAUGCUGACUUAUGUGCAGAAGUUGCAGUUAUGUUUGCAAACGUUGAGGCCUGUAAAUUUGUGUUAAAGUUUCAUAUAUAUGGCGCAGGGAAAGAUCUCAUAUUGGAAGGGCUCAAUCAUUUUUGAAUUCUUGGUGGAUCUCAUGCAAUACUAUGGUGUGGUAUAAUUAUUAAUGUCUAUCCAAAUUGUUUUUACACUCAAUUAAACCUCCUUACUUGAAAAAUCACUUCAUGUUUAUUGUUACAGCAUUAAAUUUUCUGGCUCCAUUUCCACUCUUUCUUUUAUUUUUUUUGGUGAUUUCCUUCACAAAGUAGCUGUCGAAUGAAGAGAAAAUAUUGGAAGAUGGACCUCCAUACAAUACUUCAUGAGCAUGUCUUUGAAGCCAUCAACUUUGUCAAGUGAAAGACCAAAAAAACUUUGGAGAUUGAUAUUGUGGCCUUUUGUUAGCUCUUUGUAGGAUUAUGACUUCUAAAUUUUGAGUUCAAGCAGCAAGACUGAAUAGAAAUAGAGAUAAGUUUACAUCAUCAACUCGAGCUUGUCUCAAGUUCUCAUCACGGUGCCAACAUCCUUCCGCUAAAAUC
rnacentral:misc_RNA from 1 species